CCGCUGGUCUUCCUCGCUUGGUUCCUCUCGUUUUUUCGUUGAUGAAGCCGUUGGUCCCGCAAAAUAUUUCGGUUUAAGAUAGUUCCAAGCUGCACCGAUGAUGGCCUCGUGAUCUUCAAGUCAUGUCGGUGCCGAGAAACUCAAUGAGGAAUUUUACCGUCUCGUCGAUAAAUCGAUCGCGUAGGAAAUUAAGUCGCCCUUGCGUGUAACGGUAAAAUCGUGCGGAUACCUGGCGAGUGUUCUUACGGCGCUAUGCCCGGUAUCGUCGCUUCCAUAAGUCGGCGAAAUUGCAGCGUGAUCUCGAGCGGGCCGUUAACUUUUCGCAAGAACGGAAAACAGUUACCCCGUUCAGACAUGCGUCCGGUGCAUCGCGUUCCGGGGAGGGUGAGGAGAAGGGAAUAAGGAGGGCGUUUCAUUGACUUGAACGAACGCGGUUUAAUGAUCAUGAUGAAACGAGACAGUGUGACCGCGUGCCGCAAAAAUUCGCGAAAAGGUUUCUUCCUAUAACAACGAUGUCGAUGACAACGUGACAAUCUGAUUGAUUUUUGCUAAUUACUUCCUACUUCCUAAUUGGUUGAAUCAUUCUCUGAAAAUGGUGUGCAAUUCGGAGAUAUUUUAUGCAAAAAGUAUCUUUUUUGCUUGAUAAAAUUGAAAAGUUAUCAAGCACACAGCUCUUCAAGAAGUAACGAAAAUUACAAAAAAUAACUAUAACGAAUAUAUACUUGUUUUUAAAUAGUAUAUCUUUUGUAUAAAUUUUAAACAAAUAUCCAAAUUGUUAAAUCACCUAAAGCAGUAGUUGAAUUUACAAAAAUGUAAAUAAUUUUGAUUUGAAGAAAUAAGAUUUGUUAUCAAUUGUCAAAUAAGAAGACUUAAACGAUACUAAAUAUUUCUUUCGAGAAAAUAAAAGAUAAAGAAAUCUCUUGUUUAUAUUCAGUAAAUAUCAGUUAUUAGCUGAAUCAAUAAAAAUGUAAAUAAGUACUGAUGGAAAUAAUUCCGAAUAAAGGUAAAUAUUACAAC